rnacentral:rRNA from 1 species
UACAGAGGUCUCAAGCGUUGUUCGGAUUCAUUGGGCGUAAAGGGUGCGUAGGUGGCGCUGUAAGUCGGGUGUGAAAUUUCGGAGCUUAACUCCGAAACUGCAUUCGAUACUGCGGUGCUUGAGGACUGGAGAGGAGACUGGAAUUCACGGUGUAGCGGUGAAAUGCGUAGAUAUCGUAAGGAAGACCAGUGGCGAAGGCGGGUCUCUGGACAGUUCCUGACGCUGAGGCACGAAGGCCAGGGGAGCAAACGGG